GAUCCUGGCUCAGAUUGAACGCUGGCGGCAUGCCUUACACAUGCAAGUCGAACGGUAACAGGUCUUCGGACGCUGACGAGUGGCGAACGGGUGAGUAAUACAUCGGAACGUGCCCAGUCGUGGGGGAUAACUACUCGAAAGAGUAGCUAAUACCGCAUACGAUCUGAGGAUGAAAGCGGGGGACCUUCGGGCCUCGCGCGAUUGGAGGCCGGCCGAGUGGCAGUAGUUAGGUAGUUGGGUGGGAAUAAAAGU
rnacentral:rRNA from 1 species